CAAUAGCGUAUAUUAAAGUUGUUGCAGUUAAAAAGCUCGUAGUUGGAUUUCUGGUCUGAUGCCCUGGCCCGCCUCAAUUUCGAGGUGAGUGCCGGCUGUGCGUCUACCAUCCUUCUAGAAAACGUUCCUACCCUUCACUGGGCCGGGUUUGCGAUCUAGAUCUUUUACUUUGAAAAAUUAGAGUGUUUAAAGCAGGCUUUUGCUAUGAAUACAUUAGCAUGGAAUAAUAAUCUAGGACUUCGGUUCUAUUUUGUUGGUUUCUAGUACUGAAGUAAUGAUUGAUAGGGAUCGUUGGGGGUGGCUAGUAUUGAGCGGCCAGAGGUGAAAUUCUUGGAUUCGCUCAAGACUAACUUAUGCGAAAGCAUUCACCAAGGAGGUCUUCUUUAAUCAAGAACGAAAGUUGGGGGAUCGAAGACGAUUAGAUACCGU
rnacentral:rRNA from 1 species